GGGGUUGGGCCUCUGAAGUUUAAACUGGACGGAAACGGCUGGUUCUGGGUUGCUCACUUUUUUGAGAGAAUAGGCCUAGUUUGCAUCUUAGCAUGUCAAUAGUAACAGUGCAACUUGGUCAGUGUGGUAAUCAGAUUGGUUUUGAAGUAUUUGAUGCUCUAAAUACUGACUCACACUGUCCCCAGGGACUCUGCUCUAAAAGAGAAAAUGAGGCAUAUCAAGCAUCUUGCAAAGAAAGAUUCUUCAGUGAGGAGGAAAAUGGAGUUCCAAUUGCCCGGGCCGUACUUGUUGAUAUGGAACCCAAAGUUACCAGUCAGACACUGUCAAAGGCUGCCCAGUCUGGCCGAUGGAAAUAUGGCCAGCAUUCAUGCUUCUGUCAAAAACAAGGUUCUGGAAACAACUGGGCAUAUGGUUACUCUGUUCAUGGACCCAGGCAUGAAGAAGCUAUAAUGAACCUAAUCCAGAAGGAAGUGGAGAAAUGUGACUCCUUGAGUGGUUUUUUCAUCAUAAUGAGUAUGGCUGGGGGCACAGGAUCAGGGCUAGGAGCCUUUGUUACACAGAAUUUACAAGAUCAGUACUCAAACUCUUUGAAAAUGAAUCAGAUUAUAUGGCCGUAUGGAACUGGUGAGGUUAUUGUCCAGAACUACAACUCCGUUUUGACUCUUUCUCACUUGUACCGAUCUUCAGAUGCCCUUCUUGUUCAUGAAAAUGAUGCUCUUCAUAAGAUCUGUGCGAAACUGAUGAACAUCAAGCAGAUCUCCUUUAGCGACAUAAACCAAGUCCUUGCACAUCAGUUGGGAAGUGUGUUCCAGCCUACUUAUUCUGUGGAAGGCUCAUGUCACUACAGACGAAAUCCAUUAGGAGACUUAAUGGAGAAUUUGGUUCCCCAUCCUGAAUUCAAGAUGCUGGGUAUUCGUAACAUUCCUCAAAUGUCAGAGAACUCACUGGCAUACAGCACAUUUACUUGGGCCGGCCUCCUCAAACAUCUGAGACAGAUGCUCAUUUCUAAUUCAAAAAUGGAAGAAGGUAUUGAUUGGCAGGUACGGCCUCCUUUAUCAGGACUUCCUACUUUUGGUAAAGUGUCUCUCAACAGGGAGCUUCAUUUUAACACUUCCAUUGCCAACUUGGUCAUCCUCCGUGGGAAAGAUGUGCACAGUGCGGAUCUGGGAGGAUUUAAAGAUCCAGCUCUCUAUACUUCUUGGUUAGAGCCUAUUCAUGCUGUCAAUGUGUGGAAAACCCAGCGAGCCUUUAGCAAAUAUGAGAAGUCUGCAGCAUUGGUCAGCAAUAGCCAGUUCUUACUAAAACCUCUUGAUACGAUUGUGGGCAAAGCCUGGAACAUGUUUGCUUCAAAAGCCUACAUUCAUCAAUACACAAAAUUUGGAAUUGAAGAAGAGGACUUCUUGGACAGUUUCGCAUUGUUAGAACAGGUUGUUGCCAGUUACUGCAACCUCUGAUCUCGAACAAAGGAGAAAAAGUACUUUAAUUCAUUUUGGGGCUAAAAUAUUUUCAAUAGUACUUUCUCUGUAAGGUUUUCAGAUCUCUACCUGUCAAAGUAACAAAGUCAAAUGCUGUUUCCUUUGGCAUACUAUGACCACAGAAAAGGAGGAAAACCUUUUCAAUGGAGAACAUCAUGUUUUCAAUGAAAACGUCUACUUGGUAUUUUCAUUUGUAAGAAAGGAACUGGUGCUUCUAUAAAGAAAUUUGGAAACACUUUGCUGAGAUGUUGGAAUUCUGGAAGUAUCCAAAAAAGUUGUGAUUUAACACAAAGAAGGUGAUGCCAAAGCUUCAACAUAGUGUCACUGGAAAUGUACCUUGUGUAGAGAAAAUGGCCAAUCAGCCAGGACAAAAUGAGGACCAUAACUUCCUGGGCAUACAGAUCCAGAAGCUCUGAACUUGUAAUAUCUUAGAUUACUGGGUAACUAGAGUACUGUGUUGUCACUCACAUUUCUCCCACAGAGCCGCACAUACGUACGCACCCCCUGUAGGCAUAAAGAAGUGUAAAUUCAAACUGCUGCUUCUUUUCGUCUUUUCACUCUCCUUCAUUUGUGCUUUUGUCAAGAGUUCUUUAAGCUAUAGAACCCGUUUCUUCCCAUUCAUUCCCUCUUGCUUCUAGCUUUGCUCCUGCCAACAUGAACCAAUCUGCAGCAUCUUUCUCCUUUAAUUAAUCUGUCACUUAGACCUUAGCUAACAUAUCCACAAUUCACUGUUCUCAGGUCAUUCAUUCAUUCAACCAAUACCUAGUCAGUACCAGGCAUUGACUUGGAUGUUAAGGAUGUAGGCGUUAAUACCAUCUGGUCUAAAUGAAGAAGCUUACAGUGUAGCUAAGUUUCUUUGAAUGUCUUGAUGCUCCAAUCCUAGCUUCCUAAUUAUUGUUUAUUAUCUUCCCCAUGUCCAUGUUCCCCUUUUUUACAAGAAAGAUGUACAAGGAACAACGAGCUGGGAGCUCUAGUCUGGGCUUUAAAUUGGUUUGAAAUGCCUCCCCCCGGGCUCUGGAGACUAUUCUGCAGGGUACAUACCAAUGAUUCUUCUGACCGCCAUGUUUAUCACACUUGAAUUCCUGUCCAAAAUUUUGUUUCAAAACACGCUCCAUAUGUUCCUAUCACAAUAUUCUCUCUGUAUGAGCCCAAGGUUUGGCAGUCAAGCCUUUCUUGUUCUUCAACAUACCUACCAAAUAUGGCUUUACUCACUAACUUGUCAUUUUUGGCAAAUAAUCAGUUAUUUAAGAGAUGUCU